CUUCACCGUGCCCAGGCGCAGCGGCUGUCCCGGCGAACGCCCCUGCCCGUACGUGGCGAGCAGAGCCUGUGCCUC
rnacentral:antisense_RNA from 1 species